GGGGAGCGUUCUGUCAGCGGUGAAGGUCGAUCGUAAGGGGCGACUGGAGCGGACAGAAGUGAGAAUGCAGGCAUGAGUAGCGUACAAACACGUGAGAACCGUGUUCGCCGUAAGUCUAAGGUUUCCGACGCCAGGUCAUUCCGCGUCGGGUUAGUCGAGUCCUUAGCCGAGGCCGAGAGGCGUAGGUGAUGGACAUCCGGUCAACAUUCCGGAACCACUUGGGAGUGCGAUGGGAGGACGCAACGAGGUAGGCCAGCCCAUUAUUGGAUUUGGGUUCGAUCCAUCUAGGUGUUGAGAUUGGUAGGUAAAUCCGCCAGUUGAGCUGAGGUGGGAGCGGGCCGUAAGGCGAAGUGGCUGAGCCUUGUUGCCAAGAAAAGUCUCUAAGCAUAACUCUCUAGUGCUCGUACCGCAAACCGACACUGGUAGACGGGUAGAAUAUACCAAGGCGAACGGGAGAACCCUCGUUAAGGAAUUAGGCAACAUGACCCCGUAACUUCGGGAGAAGGGGUACCCUCCUUAGUGUUAAAGCUUCGGAGGUCGCAGUGAAAUGG
rnacentral:rRNA from 1 species